rnacentral:misc_RNA from 1 species
GUCACAAAUUUGAAAAAUCAUUGAGGUUUCAAAUCAGAAAAUCACAGAACUAAAUAAAAAAGUUAAUCACAGAAAAUCACAGAGGUCUAAAAUUGCUUUCACAGCGAUAAUAAGCUCAAAAUAAUAAAUUAAAAAAAAAAAUCCAAAUUUGACAUAACCGAUAAAUUAACAAGACCUCUCACCAUAGAGAAAACAAAACCCUGAAAUCAUUCAAAUCAAACCAUUAACGCAAAAGCAAGCGAAACAAAGAAAAUAAACAUUCAAUUCAAAACUUAAUCGACG